rnacentral:rRNA from 1 species
GAUGAACGCUGGCGGCGUGCCUAACACAUGCAAGUCGAGCGGACGGACCAGCAUUUUGCUUUUCUGAUGUUAGCGGCGGACGGGUGACUAACACGUGGCAAACCUACCUAUUAGACUGGGAUAACUUCGGGAAACCGGAGCUUAUGCCUGAUACUCUUUUGAACCGCAUGGUUCAACAGUGAAAGACGGUCUUUCUGUCACUUAUAGAUGGUGCGGCGCUGCAUUAGCUGGUUGGUAAGGUAACGGCUUACCAAGGCAACGAUGGAUAGCCGACCUGGGAGGGUGAGCGGCCACACUGGAACUGAGACACGGUCCAGACUCCUACGGGAGGCAGCAGUAGGGAAUCUUCCGCAAUGGGCGAAAGCCUGACGGAGCAACGCCGCGUGAGUGAUGAAGGUCUUCGGAUCGGAAAACUCUGUUAUUAGGGAAGAACAUAUGUGUAAGUAACUGUGCACAUCUUGACGGUACCUGAUCAGAAAGCCACGGCUAACUACGUG